rnacentral:rRNA from 1 species
UACGUAGGGUGCAAGCGUUGUCCGGAAUUAUUGGGCGUAAAGAGCUCGUAGGCGGUCUGUCGCGUCGGCUGUGAAAACCCGGGGCUCAACCCCGGGCCUGCAGUCGAUACGGGCAGACUAGAGUGCGGUAGGGGAGACUGGAAUUCCUGGUGUAGCGGUGAAAUGCGCAGAUCUACGAAGGAACGCCAAAAGCGAAGGCAGCUCUCUGGGUCCCUACCGACGCUGGGGUGCGAAAGCAUGGGGAGCGAACAGG